AUACGUAGGGGGCGAGCGUUGUCCGGAAUGAUUGGGCGUAAAGGGCGCGUAGGCGGCCCGGUAAGUCUGGAGUGAAAGUCCUGUUUUUAAGAUGGGAAUUGCUUUGGAUACUGUCGGGCUUGAGUGCAGGAGAGGUAAGUGGAAUUCCCAGUGUAGCGGUGAAAUGCGUAGAGAUUGGGAGGAACACCAGUGGCGAAGGCGACUUACUGGCCAGAAACUGACGCUGUGGCGCGAAAGGGUGGGGAGCAAACAGGAUUAGAUACCCUGGUAGUCCACACUGUAAACGAUGAAUGCUAGGUGUAGGGGGUAUCGACCCCUUCUGUGCGGCAGGCAACACAAUAAGCAUACCGCCUGGGGAGUACGGUCGCAAGGUUGAAACUCAAAUGAAUUGACGGAG
rnacentral:rRNA from 1 species